rnacentral:rRNA from 1 species
UGAGGGGAACCGCCUGAACUGAAACAUCUAAGUAGGGCGAGGAAGAGAAAUCAACCGAGAUUCCGCUAGUAGUGGCGAGCGAACGCGGAAGAGGCCAAACCGGAGGUAGCAAUAUUUCCGGGGUUAGGACUGCAAUAUGUAACUUUAAUCUUUAACUGAAUGCUUUGGGAAGAGCAGCGAAACAGGGUGACAGCCCCGUAAGUGAAAGAGAUUGAGUGCUAGCAGUAUCCAGAGUACCAGCGGACACGUGAAACCCGCUGGGAAGAUGGGGGGACCAUCCUCCAAGCCUAAAUACUACUCAGUGACCGAUAGUGGAGCAGUACCGUGAGGGAAAGGUGAAAAGUACCCCGGGAGGGGAGUGAAAGAGAACCUGAAACCUUGUGCCUACAAGCACCGAGAGCACGUUAAAGUGUGAUCGGGUACUUUUUGUAGAACGGUCCGGCGAGUUAAUAUUUGCAGCGAGGUUAAGUAACUGGAGUUACGGAGCCGCAGCGAGAGCGAGUCUGAAUAGGGCGUAUGAAGUUGCAGGUAUUAGACCCGAAACCGGGUGACCUAUCCAUGAGCAGGCUGAAGCGGUGGUAAGACACCGUGGAGGGCCGCACCCACGUCUGUUGAAAAAGCCGGGGAUGACUUGUGGAUAGCGGAGAAAUUCCAAUCGAACUCGGAGAUAGCUGGUUCUCCCCGAAAUAGCUUUAGGGCUAGCGUUAUUUUAGAUUACCGGAGGUAAAGCACUGAAUGGUCUAGGGGCCGCGAGGUUACCAAAGCCUAUCAAACUCUGAAUGCCGGAUAAUUGAUGAAUAGCAGUCAGACUGUGUGAGAUAAGUCUCAUAGUCAAAAGGGAAACAGCCCAGAUCUACAGCUAAGGUCCCAAAUGAACACUAAGUGGAAAAUGAUGUGAAACUGCGAAGACAACCAGGAUGUUGGCUUAGAAGCAGCCACUCAUUCAAAGAGUGCGUAAUAGCUCACUGGUCGAGUGGUUUUGCGCAGAAAAUGUAACGGGGCUAAGUGUUCAACCGAAGCUUAGGCAUUGCAGUAAUGCAUUGGGUAGGGGAGCGUCGUAUGCGGGGCGAAGUCAGAGCGGAAGCACUGGUGGACUGCAUACGAGUGAGAAUGCCGGAAUAAGUAGCGAGAAUUAUGUGAGAAUCAUAAUGGCCGAAAAUCUAAGGUUUCCUGGGGAAGGUUCGUCCGCCCAGGGUUAGUCGGGAGCUAAGCUCAGGCCGAAAGGCGUAGGCGAUGCACAUACGGUAGAAAUUCCGUAACCACCGAACUUUAAGCUAGAGGGACGCUUUCUUUAAGGUUAUCCCGGGCGAUGGUUGCCCCGGGCGUAAGGGACCGAAAUAUAGUAGGGAAGUAACUGGCGAGAGAGACGAGAAAAGCUCUAGUGUAUACUAAGGUGCCCGUACCGCAAACCGACACAGGUAGAAGGGAUGAGUAUUCUAAGGCCAACGGGAGAAGGGUUGUUAAGGAACUCGGCAAAUUGGCCCCGUAACUUCGGGAUAAGGGGCGCCUGCGAGAGCAGGCCGCAGUGAAAAGGCCCAAGCGACUGUUUAGCAAAAACACAGCUCUCUGCUAAAUCGAAAGAUGACGUAUAGGGGGUGACGCCUGCCCGGUGCUGGAAGGUUAAGGGGAGUGCUUAGCGCAAGCGAAGGUGCGAACUUAAGCCCCAGUAAACGGCGGCCGUAACUAUAACGGUCCUAAGGUAGCGAAAUUCCUUGUCAGGUAAGUUCUGACCCGCACGAAUGGCGUAACGAUUUGGGCACUGUCUCAACAGCCCGCCCGGCGAAAUUGUAGUACCGGUGAAGAUGCCGGUUACCCGCGACAAGACGGAAA